rfam:Blautia sp. YL58, complete genome.
GAGAACUAUCAUCUCAACAGGUGGAAUGAAGGGGUAACGCCCGGAAACGCCUGCCCUGAUCCUCCGACAUGCGUUCACUGAAAAUCCGUGUAAUUAAGGACGUGUGCGUAUGAAGCUCGGUAAAGUCAGCUGAGAAUUGCCGUAAUAGAUGGGUAAAUAUCCUGUCUAACGAAAGUCAUCCAGAGGUGGAUGGUGCAAUCUAUAGGCUGGGGGUCUAUAAA